AUCCUUCGGUUCAUAAGCGUGAUGAUUGGGUGUUCACGCUCUUGUGUGAGAUGUGCCUCCCUCAUAAACCUUGUUACGACAUUGGCACAUUACCCGUCUGACG
rnacentral:snoRNA from 1 species